CCUACGGGUGGCAGCAGUGGGGAAUAUUGCACAAUGGGGGAAACCCUGAUGCAGCGACGCCGCGUGAGUGAAGAAGUCUUUCGGUAUGUAAAGCUCUUUCUGCAGGGAAGAAAAUGACGGUACCUGUUUAAGAAGCCCCGGCUAACUACGUGCCAGCAGCCGCGGUAAUACGUAGGGGGCAAGCGUUAUCCGGAUUUACUGGGGGUAAAGUGAGCGUAGACGGCAGAACAAGUCUGGAGGGAAAUGUCCGGGCUUAAACCCGGAACUGCUUUUGAAACUGUGCAGCUAGAGUGCAGGAGAGGUAGGUGGAAUUCGUGGUGUAGCGGUGAAAUGCGUAGAUAUUAGGAGGAACACCGGUGGCGAAGGCGGCUUACUGGACUGUAACUGACGUUGAGGCUCGAAAGCGUGGGGAGCGAACAGGAUUAGAUACCCCGGUAGUC
rnacentral:rRNA from 1 species